rnacentral:rRNA from 1 species
GAUGAACGCUGGCGGCGUGCCUAAUACAUGCAAGUCGAGCGAACAGACGAGGAGCUUGCUCCUCUGACGUUAGCGGCGGACGGGCGAGUAACACGUGGAUAACCUACCUAUAAGACUGGGAUAACUUCGGGAAACCGGGGCUAAUACCGGAUAAUAUAUUGAACCGCAUGGUUCAAUAGUGAAAGACGGUUUUGCUGUCACUUAUAGAUGGAUCCGCGCCGCAUUAGCUAGUUGGUAAGGUAACGGCUUACCAAGGCAACGAUGCGUAGCCGACCUGAGAGGGUGAUCGGCCACACUGGAACUGAGACACGGUCCAGACUCCUACGGGAGGCAGCAGUAGGGAAUCUUCCGCAAUGGGCGAAAGCCUGACGGAGCAACGCCGCGUGAGUGAUGAAGGUCUUCGGAUCGUAAAACUCUGUUAUUAGGGAAGAACAAAUGUGUAAGUAACUAUGCACGUCUUGACGGUACCUAAUCAGAAAGCCACGGCUAACUACGUG